AUUGAACGCUGGCGGCAGGCUUGACACAUGCAAGUCGAGCGGGGUGAUGGUGCUUGCACUAUCACUUAGCGGCGGACGGGUGAGUAAUGCUUAGGAAUCUGCCUAUUAGUGGGGGACAACAUCUCGAAAGGGAUGCUAAUACCGCAUACUUUCUACGGGAGAAAGCAGGGGAUCACUUGUGACCUUUCGCUAACAGAUGAGCCAAAGUCGGAUUAGCUAGUUGGUGGGGUAAAGGCCUACCAAGGCGACGAUCUGGAGCGGGUCUGAGAGGAUGAUCCGCCACACUGGGACUGAGACACGGCCCAGACUCCUACGGGAGGCAGCAGUGGGGAAUAUUGGACAAUGGGGGGAACCCUGAUCCAGCCAUGCCGCGUGUGUGAAGAAGGCCUUAUGGUUGUAAAGCACUUUAAGCGAGGAGGAGGCUCUUUUGGUUAAUACCCAAGAUGAGUGGACGUUACUCGCAGAAUAAGCACCGGCUAACUCUGUGCCAGCCGCCGCGGUAA
rnacentral:rRNA from 1 species